rnacentral:rRNA from 1 species
GAUGAACGCUGGCGGCGUGCUUAACACAUGCAAGUCGAACGAAGCAAUUUAACGGAAGUUUUCGGAUGGAAGUUAAAUUGACUGAGUGGCGGACGGGUGAGUAACGCGUGGGUAACCUGCCUCAUACAGGGGGAUAACAGUUAGAAAUGACUGCUAAUACCGCAUAAGCGCACAGGACCGCAUGGUCUGGUGUGAAAAACUCCGGUGGUAUGAGAUGGACCCGCGUCUGAUUAGCUAGGUGGUGGGGUAACGGCCUACCAAGGCGACGAUCAGUAGCCGUCCUGAGAGGGUGACCGGCCACAUUGGGACUGAGCCACCGCCCAAACAACUGCGGGAGGAAGCAGUGGGGGAUAUUGCACAAUGUGCGAAAGCCUGAUGAAGCGACGCCGCGUGAGCGAAGAAGUAUUUCGGUAUGUAAAGAUCUAGCAGCAGGGAAGAAAAAUGACGGUACCUGACUAAGAAGCGCCGGCUAAAUACGUGCCAGCCGCCGCCGUAAUAC